AACGAACGCUGGCGGCGUGCUUAACACAUGCAAGUCGAACGACGUGGCGCAAGGGUGAGUAACGCGUAAACAACCUGCCCUUCAGAGGGGGACAACAGUUGGAAAAGACUGCUAAUACCGCAUACUGAAGGAGGGGAUUGAGGCGGAUUAGCUAGUUGGAGGGGAGACGACCCACCAAGGCGAGGAUCAGUAGCCGGUCUUGGAGGUUGAACGGCCACAUUGGGACUGGGACACGGCCCAGACUCCUACGGGAGGCAGCAGUGGGGAAUCUUCCGCAAUGGACGAAAGUCUGACGGAGCAACGCCGCGUGAGUGAUGACGGCCUUCGGGUUGUAAAGCUCUGUUAAUCGGGACGCGGUACCGGAAUAGAAAGCCACGGCUAACUACGUGCCAGCAGCCGCGGUAAUAC
rnacentral:rRNA from 1 species